GACAGAGGUGCCGAGCGUUAGGCGGAAUCACUGGGCUUAAAGCGUGUGUAGGCGGACGCCUAAGUGUCUUGUGAAAUCCCACGGCUCACCCGUGGAACUGCUGGGCAUACUGGGCGUCUUGGGCCAACUAGGGGCAGCCGGAACAAGCGGUGGAGCGGUGAAAUGCGUAGAUAUCGCUUGGAACGCCGAAGGUGAAAACAGGCUGCUGGGGUUGUGCCGACGCUGAGACACGAAAGCCAGGGGAGCAAACGGG
rnacentral:rRNA from 1 species